GAUGAACGCUGGCGGCGUGCCUAAUACAUGCAAGUCGAGCGAACAGACGAUGAUCUUGCUCCUCUUACGUUAUCGGCGGACGGGUGUGUAACACGUGUAUAACCUACCUAUAUUUCUUGUAUAACUUCGUGAAACCGGCUCUAAUACCGUAUAAUAUAUUGAUCCGCAUGGUUCUAUAGUUAUUUUCGUUUUUGCUUUCUCUUUUAGAUGGUUCCUCGCCGCAUUCGCUAGUUGGUAAGGUAACGGCUUACCAAGGCAACGAUGCGUAGCCGACCUGAGAGGGUGAUCGGAGAAACUGGAAGGGAGACACGGAACAGACACCUACGGGAGGCAGCAGAAGGGAAUGUGCCGGAAUGGGCGAAAGCAUGACGGAGCAAGGGGGAGUGAGUGAAGAAGGAGUAAGGAUCGUAAAACACUGUUAUUAGGGAAGAAAAAAUGUGUAAGAAAAUAUGCACGAAAUGACGGUAACUAAUAAGAAAGCAACGGCUAACUACGUG
rnacentral:rRNA from 1 species